AAAAUGAAACUGAAAAUCCUCUCCUCUCUCCCCCCAAUGCUCUUGUCUGCCUCCUCUCUACGUUGCUGCUGGACCAUCAGUGUUGGUUACCCCCGUGGCAACUCGACAGUGUGCAGCUGCCCUCCAGCUCCUCUCCAUCUCCAUCUCCCUCUACUUCUAUCACAUCUGUCUUUACUGGCCCUUCUGUCCACUCUAUAUUAUUGGUUCUCUUCACCUCUCUCCUAUAACAUCUACCACUCAUCCCUAAUAUUAUUGGUUCUCUUCACCUCUCUCCUAUAACAUCUACCACUCAUCCCUAAUAUUAUUGGUUCUCUUCACCUCUCUCCUAUAACAUCUACCACUCAUCCCUAAUAUUAUUGGUUCUCUUCACCUCUCUCCUAUAACAUCUACCACUCAUCCCUAAUAUUAUUGGUUCUCUUCACCUCUCUCCUAUCAUUUUAUACCGCACUAUCUACAUUUGGUUCUGCACAAGUUGCCCUUUGGUUCUGGUUCAAAGAUUAUCAUACCCAUUUGUUCUGGUUGCAAAGCUACAUAUUACUGGUAUCUAUUUUUGGUUGUACUGGUUGUUUGGUACUUGGUCAUUCUGUUUUAUGGUUCUGUGAGUUUCUCUGCUUGCACUUUUUCUACCUCUCCUGUCUCUCUCUCUCUCACAUUUGAUUUGAUCUUUUCAAUUGGCAAAAAUUCAAUUAUUGUAUUUUUGAAUUAUCCAUAUUGUUUCAAUUUAUUCUAUUUGGUAACAGUCAUUAUUAAAUAAAUUAUUAAGAAAAGUAUUUUUGAAUUUGUUCAUUAAAUUUAAAUUAAUUGAAAAGACUGGAAACAUACAUAACACACAUUUUGUUUAGCUUUUAUCACAAACAUUGGACUGUAAAAACUAAUUCAAAGUUAAAUCUGGUACAUUUCCAAAUAGAAGUUGCUGUCAUAAAGUGCAUCAUUGAAGAAAACUAUCUCUUGUUAGUAUAACAAUAAAUUGAAGUCCAAAUCUAUAUUUAUACAAGAAAAAAACUGUAGUUGUUGCUGGACCGUGUUGCUGUGGAGCUCUGUACCAAAAGGUUUGUUUUGACUGCAAAUAUCUUCACACAAAAGGGCCAUAAUCAGUUUUUGUUUACUUGAGUAGUACUAGUGUAAAACUAAUUACACUACAUACAUUGUGUUAUUUGUCUCUGAUUCACAUAUUUGUACCUCGUCUAUAGAUCCACCCACAUUGUUGGCAUCAACACCUUUUGUACGUGCUUUAUUGUUGGUUAAACCUUUUGUAAAGUGAAAUAAAUAAACCAACUGUAAGGAGAAACUGUAUUCUUUGCUUAUAUUAAAAUAAACCUCUGAAUAUAUUAAG